UUUUAUGGAGAGUUUGAUCCUGGCUCAGGAUGAACGCUGGCGGCGUGCCUAAUACAUGCAAGUCGAGCGAACGGACGAGAAGCUUGCUUCUCUGAUGUUAGCGGCGGACGGGUGAGUAACACGUGGAUAACCUACCUAUAAGACUGGGAUAACUUCGGGAAACCGGAGCUAAUACCGGAUGAUAUUUUGAACCGCAUGGUUCAAAAGUGAAAGACGGUCUUGCUGUCACUUAUAGAUGGAUCCGCGCUGCAUUAGCUAGUUGGUAAGGUAACGGCUUACCAAGGCAACGAUGCAUAGCCGACCUGAGAGGGUGAUCGGCCACACUGGAACUGAGACACGGUCCAGACUCCUACGGGAGGCAGCAGUAGGGAAUCUUCCGCAAUGGGCGAAAGCCUGACGGAGCAACGCCGCGUGAGUGAUGAAGGUCUUCGGAUCGUAAAACUCUGUUAUUAGGGAAGAACAUAUGUGUAAGUAACUGUGCACAUCUUGACGGUACCUAAUCAGAAAGCCACGGCUAACUACGUGCCAGCAGCCGCGGUAAUACGUAGGUGGCAAGCGUUAUCCGGAAUUAUUGGGCGUAAAGCGCGCGUAGGCGGUUUUUUAAGUCUGAUGUGAAAGCCCACGGCUCAACCGUGGAGGGUCAUUGGAAACUGGAAAACUUGAGUGCAGAAGAGGAAAGUGGAAUUCCAUGUGUAGCGGUGAAAUGCGCAGAGAUAUGGAGGAACACCAGUGGCGAAGGCGACUUUCUGGUCUGUAACUGACGCUGAUGUGCGAAAGCGUGGGGAUCAAACAGGAUUAGAUACCCUGGUAGUCCACGCCGUAAACGAUGAGUGCUAAGUGUUAGGGGGUUUCCGCCCCUUAGUGCUGCAGCCAACGCAUUAAGCACUCCGCCUGGGGAGUACGACCGCAAGGUUGAAACUCAAAGGAAUUGACGGGGACCCGCACAAGCGGUGGAGCAUGUGGUUUAAUUCGAAGCAACGCGAAGAACCUUACCAAAUCUUGACAUCCUUUGACAACUCUAGAGAUAGAGCCUUCCCCUUCGGGGGACAAAGUGACAGGUGGUGCAUGGUUGUCGUCAGCUCGUGUCGUGAGAUGUUGGGUUAAGUCCCGCAACGAGCGCAACCCUUAAGCUUAGUUGCCAUCAUUAAGUUGGGCACUCUAAGUUGACUGCCGGUGACAAACCGGAGGAAGGUGGGGAUGACGUCAAAUCAUCAUGCCCCUUAUGAUUUGGGCUACACACGUGCUACAAUGGACAAUACAAAGGGCAGCGAAACCGCGAGGUCAAGCAAAUCCCAUAAAGUUGUUCUCAGUUCGGAUUGUAGUCUGCAACUCGACUACAUGAAGCUGGAAUCGCUAGUAAUCGUAGAUCAGCAUGCUACGGUGAAUACGUUCCCGGGUCUUGUACACACCGCCCGUCACACCACGAGAGUUUGUAACACCCGAAGCCGGUGGAGUAACCUUUUAGGAGCUAGCCGUCGAAGGUGGGACAAAUGAUUGGGGUGAAGUCGUAACAAGGUAGCCGUAUCGGAAGGUGCGGCUGGAUCACCUCCUUUCUAA
rnacentral:rRNA from 1 species